rnacentral:rRNA from 1 species
GACGUAGGGCGCGAGCGUUGUCCGGAUUUAUUGGGCGUAAAGAGCUCGUAGGCGGCUUGUCGCGUCGUCCGUGAAAACUUGGGGCUCAACCCCAAGCUUGCGGUCGAUACGGGCAGGCUAGAGUUCGGUAGGGGAGACUGGAAUUCCUGGUGUAGCGGUGAAAUGCGCAGAUAUCAGGAGGAACACCGGUGGCGAAGGCGGGUCUCUGGGCCGAUACUGACGCUGAGACGCGAAAGCGUGGGGAGCGAACAGG